GGAAAGAACAUCACCUAAAGAAACAAUGGUGCCUACCUCAUCAGAACCAUCUGCACAGUCAAAAUCUCCAUCGCACCAAAACCUUGAAGAAACACAAUCCCCAUUGGCACAGAGAAAAUCUUUCAACGUACAGGAGGCUGUUUAUUAAUGGAGGAGUGAGUCUAGCC